rnacentral:rRNA from 1 species
GGAGCUUGCUCUUCUUGGAUGAGUUGCGAACGGGUGAGUAACGCGUAGGUAACCUGCCUUGUAGCGGGGGAUAACUAUUGGAAACGAUAGCUAAUACCGCAUAACAAUGGGUGACACAUGUCAUUUAUUUGAAAGGGGCAAUUGCUCCACUACAAGAUGGACCUGCGUUGUAUUAGCUAGUAGGUGAGGUAACGGCUCACCUAGGCGACGAUACAUAGCCGACCUGAGAGGGUGAUCGGCCACACUGGGACUGAGACACGGCCCAGACUCCUACGGGAGGCAGCAGUAGGGAAUCUUCGGCAAUGGGGGCAACCCUGACCGAGCAACGCCGCGUGAGUGAAGAAGGUUUUCGGAUCGUAAAGCUCUGUUGUAAGUCAAGAACGAGUGUGAGAGUGGAAAGUUCACACUGUGACGGUAGCUUACCAGAAAGGGACGGCUAACUACGUGCCAGCAGCCGCGGUAAUACGUAGGUCCCGAGCGUUGUCCGGAUUUAUUGGGCGUAAAGCGAGCGCAGGCGGUUUGAUAAGUCUGAAGUUAAAGGCUGUGGCUCAACCAUAGUUCGCUUUGGAAACUGUCAAACUUGAGUGCAGAAGGGGAGAGUGGAAUUCCAUGUGUAGCGGUGAAAUGCGUAGAUAUAUGGAGGAACACCGGUGGCGAAAGCGGCUCUCUGGUCUGUAACUGACGCUGAAGCUCGAAAGCGU